rnacentral:tRNA from 1 species
UAAACAGAAGCUGAAAGCAGUUGGCUGUUAACCUUCUUAUUGUAGAAAUUUUCUACCUGUUUAAC